CAAAAAGGAACUGAGCGUUUUCGUAUCACUCCCACUCCUUACCAUACUGAUGAGAUGAUAGAACACUUGACGAAUUCUUUAGUAAAAGUUUUUGAAAAAUGUAAACUUCGCGCAAUCCCAGUUACAGCAUAAAAACCAGAUAAAAAUUCCGUAGACCUUAUAUAUCCUCAGGGUCACCUAAUGAAAAAGUUAUUUUAGUAAAAAAGAAUGA